UUAAUGCACUUUGAGAGGGCCUGGAUUAU
rnacentral:piRNA from 1 species